AUGGAGGAGGAGCAGCAGUCCGCCGGCAUGGCCGAUCUCGCCGCCCGCCUCACCAAGCGACUCGCGGACGCCAACAGGGACCGCAACCUGGUCUUCUCGCCGCUCUCCAUCUACGCCGUCCUGGCGCUCCUGGCCGUCGGCGCCAGUGGGGAGACCCUGGAAGAGAUCCUCCGCGUCCUAGGCCACCCGUCCCGCCGCGAGCUAGAGGACUACGUGGAGCGUCUCUUGGACGGAUCGUUGGAUCCUGACGGCGGUGGGCCGACCGUGGCGUUCGCGUGCGGCGUGUGGAGCGACCUGAGGCGGCCGCUGAAGCCCGCCUUCCGCGACGCUGUCGUCGGAAGGUACAAGGCCGAGGCCAGCUCCGUGGACUUCCGCAACGACCCAGAGCUAGCGAGGGCGCAGAUCAACGCGUGGGCCGCUGCUUCCACGAGGAACCUCAUCGACUCCGCCGUCCCUCGGGGAACCGUACACCGGAACACCCACCUCGUGCUGGCCAACGCCAUCUACUUCAGGGGCAAGUGGGAGGUGCCUUUCUACAAGAGCUCGACCAAGGACAGGCCCUUCCACCGGCACGACGGCACCGCCGUCGACGUCCCCUUCAUGACCAACCACAGAAAAUACUAUCACUACAUGGCCGUGCACGACGGGUUCAAGGUGCUCAAGCUACCCUACGAGAGCAGCACAGCGUACACCCAGCGGCACUGCAUGUGCAUCUUCCUCCCGGACGCGCGCGACGGCCUAGCGAGCCUGCUGGACAAGAUCACGUCGUCGUCCCCGGCAGGGUUCCUGCGCGAGCACCUGCCGACGCGCAGGGUCAAGGUCGACCAGGUGCUGGUGCCCAGGUUCGAGCUCUCCUUCAGGAGCAGCGUCACCGCCCUGCUCAAGGACCUUGGGCUCCGGCUGCCUUUCAGCCAUCGGGCCGACCUCUCCGAGAUGCUUAACGACGGCUACGAGUUCCGCGUGCAAGACGUCUUCCAGAAGGCUGUCAUCGAGGUCAACGAGGACGGAACCGAAGCCGCCGCUUUGACCUUCUAUGACGUCACCGCGAAAUCCUCUCAAUACCCGCCGGAGGAAGUGCUUUUCGUCGCCGACCACCCGUUCGCCUACUUCAUAGUCGAGGAGGAAUCGCAUGCGAUCCUCUUCGCCGGACAUGUCGUCGACCCUAGCGAUGCUACCGGGGUGGUGAUUCCAUCAGGGGAGCGCAGCACAACAAAAGG
rnacentral:rRNA from 1 species